rnacentral:misc_RNA from 1 species
AACUUUUGACAACGGAUCUCUAGGCUCUUGCAUCGAUGAAGAACGCAGUGAAAUGCGAUAAGUAAUGUGAAUUGCAGAAUCUCGUGAAUCAUUGAAUCUUUGAACGCACAUUGCGCCCUAUGGUAUUCCAUAGGGCAUACCUGUUUGAGCGUCAGCUCCACAUAUUCUCAAGCAUUAUUUUGUGAUGUUUGGAUUUGUUUGGAGAGGCACCUCUGUCAGAGAGGUACCCCCCAGAAAUCUAUAUGGCAGUAUAGUUUAUAUCUGAACUAGGCGUAAUAAUAAUAAAGUCGCUGAAUUCACCAUAUUUAUACUUGCCUGAACCCACCCAUUUGUUGAACCGGGUGACCUCAGAUCAGGUAGGGAUACCCGCUGAACUUAAGCAUAUCAAUAAGCGGAGGCU